AUUGAACGCUGGCGGCAUGCCUUACACAUGCAAGUCGAGCGGAAACAGGCGUUCCUUUCUUCACUGAUGUUAAAGGCGGACGUAAUAGUUACAAAUGGAUCACCUCCCUGUGGGACACGGAUAAAAACGUGUACUAAGACCUAAUACCGGAUAAUAAUUAAAACAGGAUGGUUCAAAACUGUAAGCCGGUCUUGCUGUCCAUUAUAGAUGGGGCCGCGCUGCAUUAGCUAGUUGGUAAGGUAACGGCUUACCAAGUCAACGAUGCAUAGCUGGCCUGAGAGGGUGAUCCGCCACACUGGAACUGAGACACGGUCCAGACUCCUACGGGAGGCAGCAGUAGGGAAUCUUCCACAAUGGGCGAAAGCCUGACGCAGCAAUGCCGCGUGAGGGAUGAAGGUCUUCGGAUUGUAAAACGCUUUUAUUAGGAAAGAAAAGAUGUGUAAUUAACCGGGCAGAUCUUGACGGUACCGAAAGAGUAAGCCACGGCUAACUACGUG
rnacentral:rRNA from 1 species